rnacentral:rRNA from 1 species
UGGGGAAUAUUGCACAAUGGGCGCAAGCCUGAUGCAGCCAUGCCGCGUGUAUGAAGAAGGCCUUCGGGUUGUAAAGUACUUUCAGCGGGGAGGAAGGUGUUGAGGUUAAUAAACUCAGCAAUUGACGUUACCCGCAGAAGAAGCACCGGCUAACUCCGUGCCAGCAGCCGCGGUAAUACGGAGGGUGCAAGCGUUAAUCGGAAUUACUGGGCGUAAAGCGCACGCAGGCGGUCUGUCAAGUCGGAUGUGAAAUCCCCGGGCUCAACCUGGGAACUGCAUUCGAAACUGGCAGGCUAGAGUCUUGUAGAGGGGGGUAGAAUUCCAGGUGUAGCGGUGAAAUGCGUAGAGAUCUGGAGGAAUACCGGUGGCGAAGGCGGCCCCCUGGACAAAGACUGACGCUCAGGUGCGAAAGCGUGGGGAGCAAACA